rnacentral:rRNA from 1 species
ACAGAGGUGGCAAGCGUUGUUCGGAUUUACUGGGCGUAAAGAGUGCGUAGGUGGUGAGGUAAGACCUGUGGGAAAGACCUGGGCUUAACCCAGGAAGGUCGCAAGUGACUGCCUCGCUUGAGGACGGGAGAGGAGAGCGGAAUUCCCGGUGUAGCGGUGAAAUGCGUAGAGAUCGGGAAGAAGGCCGGUGGCGAAGGCGGCUUACUGGGUCUCUUCUGACGCUGAGGUACGAAAGCUAGGGGAGCGAAGGGGA